rnacentral:rRNA from 1 species
ACAAGCGGUGGAGCAUGUGGUUAAUUCGAAGCAACGCGAGAACCUUACAGGCCUUGACAUGCAGAGAACUUUCCAGAGAUGGAUUGGUGCCUUCGGGAACUCUGACACAGGUGCUGCAUGGCUGUCGUCAGCUCGUGUCGUGAGAUGUUGGGUUAAGUCCCGUAACGAGCGCAACCCUUGUCCUUAGUUACCAGCACGUUAAGGUGGGCACUCUAAUGAGACUGCCGGUGACAAACCGGAGGAAGGUGGGGAUGACGUCAAGUCCUCAUGGCCCUUAUGGGUAGGGCUUCGCACGUCAUACAAUGGUCGGUACAGAGGGUUGCCAACCCGCGAGGGGGAGCUAAUCCCACAAAGCCGAUCGUAGUCCGGAUCGCAGUCUGCAACUCGACUGCGUGAAGUCGGAAUCGCUAGUAAUCGCGGAUCAGCAUGUCGCGGUGAAUACGUUCCCGGGUCUU